UAUAAGACUGGGAUAACUUCGGGAAACCGGGGCUAAUACCGGAUAAUAUUUUGAACCGCAUGGUUCAAUAGUGAAAGACGGUUUCGGCUGUCACUUAUAGAUGGACCCGCGCCGUAUUAGCUAGUUGGUAAGGUAACGGCUUACCAAGGCGACGAUACGUAGCCGACCUGAGAGGGUGAUCGGCCACACUGGAACUGAGACACGGUCCAGACUCCUACGGGAGGCAGCAGUAGGGAAUCUUCCGCAAUGGGCGAAAGCCUGACGGAGCAACGCCGCGUGAGUGAUGAAGGUCUUCGGAUCGUAAAACUCUGUUGUUAGGGAAGAACAAAUUUGUUAGUAACUGAACAAGUCUUGACGGUACCUAACCAGAAAGCCACGGCUAACUACGUGCCAGCAGCCGCGGUAAUACGUAGGUGGCAAGCGUUAUCCGGAAUUAUUGGGCGUAAAGCGCGCGUAGGCGGUUUCUUAAGUCUGAUGUGAAAGCCCACGGCUCAACCGUGGAGGGUCAUUGGAAACUGGGGAACUUGAGUGCAGAAGAGGAGAGUGGAAUUCCAUGUGUAGCGGUGAAAUGCGCAGAGAUAUGGAGGAACACCAGUGGCGAAGGCGGCUCUCUGGUCUGUAACUGACGCUGAUGUGCGAAAGCGUGGGGAUCAAACAGGAUUAGAUACCCUGGUAGUCCACGCCGUAAACGAUGAGUGCUAAGUGUUAGGGGGUUUCCGCCCCUUAGUGCUGCAGCUAACGCAUUAAGCACUCCGCCUGGGGAGUACGACCGCAGGUUGAAACUCAAG
rnacentral:rRNA from 1 species